ensembl:lncRNA
CACAUGUCAUUUAUGUUUCUUUAUUAGGCCGGGCUAUUUCCUCUAUUAUCUCUUUGUUAAAUCAUUAAUCUUGUUGGGUUGGAUUCUUCUCUUGUUUUUUCCUUCCUCAUACUGUUUCACCUUUUACCGGAAGGUGUUCAGAAAGGUACCAAAGCAAGGUGGUGCACACCCACACACACACACACACACACACACACACACACACACACACACACACUUUGUGUCUCCUUCGCGUUAUUCUUGUUGGCCAGAAGGUGAACUACAUCGAGGUGGAUUCACUGCCCCCGAGUGGCUCCACAUGCAAUAAGUAACAACACAUGGCUUGAUUAACAGACAGAUGCGCAUUAUUUAAACACUAUUUACAGUGAAUACUGAUAUGAGAUCAAGGAGCAGGUAAGGGAUAGACAGUGAGUACUGAUAUAUGUGAUUAAGGAGAAGGUAGGGGAUAGACAGUGAGUACUGAUAUAUGUGAUUAAGGAGAAGGUAGGGGAUAGACAGUGAAUACUGAUGUGAUUAAGGAGCAGGUAGGGGAUAGGCAGUGAAUACUGAUAUAUGUGAUUAAGGAGCAGGUAGGGGAUAGACAGUGAAUACUGAUGUGAUUAAGGAGCAGGUAGGGGAUAGGCAGUGAAUACUGAUAUAUGUGAUUAAGGAGCAGGUAGGGGAUAGACAGUGAGUACUGAUAUAUGUGAUUAAGGAGCAGGUAGGGGAUAGACAGUGAAUACUGAUGUGAUUAAGGAGCAGGUAGGGGAUAGAGAGUGAAAACGGACAUAUGCGACUACAUGUGAUACAGAAAUAUUUGGAUCCAUCGAGAUGGAU